ACAAGAGAAGAAAAAGUCUCUUUUGUGGCGUUGGAGAUGCCAGGGUUAGGGAUUGGGGGUGGAGGUUGAUUCAAGGGAUUUGGGGUGACGGACAACUGUCCGUAGGCGGCCUUUAUUGGCAGGGUACGGUCCUGGCGUGCCGUGCGGCCUAAAGCCGGCGUCCAUGCGGGCUCCCGCAAUGCAUUGUAGGAGGCUGGGGAGGAGCGUUCUCGACCGCGUGGAUACUGAAAGCAAGCUUUCAGUCGCUUUGGCGGGACCACAUUUAAGUCCCGGGAUUUGGACGCGGAUGGGAGAGGAAACAGCGGACUCCUGAAAGUGCUAACCAUCGUGUCCCUCCCUAGCUCCCCAAUUUUGGUCGUAUUAAAGCUGUAUGUUGGCUUUUGGAAAGAAGGUCGUAGGGAAAAUGGCGAAUGCCUUGCCUAGUUCCGCCACCGCUACCACCACCCACAACCCACCCCCGCCGCGCGCACUUGUGUCAGAUGCUAACUGAUCCCUGGGAGGCCACACGGAGGAUGCGUGGUUCAUAGGCCGAAAGCUUAAACAAACAUCUAAGCUCCCCUAGAGUGCCCACGUGAUUUCUUUGUGCUGACGGUGCACAAUGAAUAAUGGCAAGAGCUCUCCGUGAUUUUUCAGGACUGUCUUACGGGAACACUCAGACGCAAAUGAAAACAUUAAGCUGUCCGGACGGGUAUUUGUUUAGCAGUUAUGAGUCCAUAAAUACUUGAAUGAAACAAGACAAGUGUCUGUUGAAUAAUGUGAUAUGAUCUAAGCUCAAGAUCUUGUUAACUGUGACCGAUUGGCUUCAGUUUGAGCCACAUUGAUGAAUUUCAAGAAUGAGGAGCUCCUAAUUUCAGUAUACCCAAAGGGUAUUUUGUGGAAUCAUUGCAUCUGCAUCAUGAGACAAAUGUGUGGAUGGUAACUGGAAAAGAACUAAGAAAUCUGAAAUGACGCCUUUUCUGAUUCUGGAAAUGCCAAGACAUAAAAUCUUAAUUUAGAAAAACUUUGUAUUAUUUGAAAUUCAUGGAGAAUUUAUAAAUUUUUGAAAUGUU